CUAAAUCCCACUCCUCCCAGUAUUCUGAAAUCAGCGUCACACACACACCCCUCUCCGUGGACCAGAGUCCAGAUUCCGGAAUCGUCAAAACCCCUCUGCCGUCCAGCCGGUUCAGGUUCGUGUCGUGGCAGCGGCUUGAGGAGAGUGAUGUCAAAGGAGACCAGCUCUCCUGUCCCAGGGUCAGAGAAGGGCCGUCAGUGGAGGACCUCUUUCUGAGAAAGGAUGACAUCCCCUUGGAAACGGGGAGGAGGAAGAGGAGAGAGGAAGAAGGGC